rnacentral:rRNA from 1 species
AUUGAACGCUGGCGGCAUGCCUUACACAUGCAAGUCGAACGGCAGCACGGGAGCAAUCCUGGUGGCGAGUGGCGAACGGGUGAGUAAAGUAUCGGAACGUGCCCAGUCGUGGGGGAUAACGUAGCGAAAGUUACGCUAAUACCGCAUACGAUCUAUGGAUGAAAGCGGGGGAUCGUAAGACCUCGCGCGAUUGGAGCGGCCGAUAUCAGAUUAGGUAGUUGGUGGGGUAAAGGCUCACCAAGCCGACGAUCUGCAGCUGGUCUGAGAGGACGACCAGCCACACUGGGACUGAGACACGGCCCAGACUCCUACGGGAGGCAGCAGUGGGGAAUUUUGGACAAUGGGCGAAAGCCUGAUCCAGCCAUGCCGCGUGCAGGAUGAAGGCCUUCGGGUUGUAAACUGCUUUUGUACGGAACGAAAAGGUUUGGGCUAAUAAGCUGAGCUCAUGACGGUACCGUAAGAAUAAGCACCGGCUAACUACGUGCCAGCAGCCGCCGUAA